GUGGGGCACACCCACGGUUGGU
rnacentral:miRNA from 1 species